ACCAGAUCCACCAGAUGAGAACAUCGCGUGCAGGUUUCAUAAAGUAAACCUUGCAUCUCCUCUCACGUCCAUGCAUGAACACUGUAAGCAUGCUUUUCAAGGGUGGAAUUCCCCAUCUUGGAAAUUAAACUGCCCGUUCCAAUCCCUGGAUGGCUGAGACGUAACAUUCGAUGGCUGAAUAGUUAAGGACUGCGAGUUUUGAACGGAAAACGCAUCACUGAAGAGAUGCACGGAAGAGUUUGGCUUGCGUCUGCGCUGCUCAGAGAUUUCAGCGUCAUGUUCUUUAACGCAAGACGCACGGGAACCUCUAUUUGUCCCCGACACACGGCCACUCAUAGCUUACUUUCUGACAGAGAGGAAUAUGUACGUCAAUUGUUUGAAGUCAACUUUAUGAGAUGUUCCACAUUUAAAAAGUGUUGACAGGAGGUAGUUGCUGUCUUUGGUUAUCUAGCUGUAUGAGUGUUUAUCUUCCUUCAUAAAGCUAGAUAACCGAAAGUAGAAACGUCCUCCUUAACUGCAUGUGGACAAGUUGAGUGGGAAGCAAUGAUUGCAGGGAAACUGCAUGAGCCUCUCAAACUGCAGUGUCUUUGUGAGAGACCAGAGGACUGGAGCUAAGGGAAAAACGCCAUCUGGUAAGUGCAAUCAAAGCGUAUUACAAUGCAACAUUGCAAUUAGAACAAUUAGUUGUAUAGUAAAUCUGAUUCAAACACACAGUACAUCAUAAAGUAUAUGCUAAUGAAUGCAUGCACUUGAAAGGAGCCAAAUGCAAAUAGUAAUCCUUAAUCAAGUCCAAGACACUAAAUGCAUUACAUGAAUCUUUCAUCAGAAAAUCUAUAUAUCU